GUGAUAGGAAGCGAGUAAUGAGGCGGGGUGUGCGGGAGCCAAUCCAGAGUGGGGAACUCUUCGAAGGCGAGACUUUGUGUUUGUACGGAUCGGUCCCUCUUGGCUGGGCGAGUCUGUCAAACUUGUCAGGGAGCCGGAGGAGGCUGCGCUCCUCAGGGAGCGGUGAGGCGUGUCAGCAGCGCCCGGGAGUCAGGCACCUGCCCUGCGCCAGCUGCAGGGAUCGUGCCCAGCGUAUCCGAGGCCUCCUGCGCCAAGCACCUCUCAGGGGUGUGCUAAGCACGUCGCUCAGUGCUGAGCGAGGCAGAGCUAAUGGCUGCGGUGUGUUGCGAGAUUUCUGGCAGUGAAAUCGCUGGGAUUGAAAUAAACACGUCACUUAUCAUCAUCCUAAAAGGAAUCCAGGGCCUCCAGCAUCAACUGCAGGGGCUGCUCAUACACUGAGUGACCAUGAAGAGUGUACACGAGGCACUUAAUCUUCUGAGAAACUUGUCUGAUGGGCUGAUAUGAUCUGUUCUUGAUCUGAGCUCAAAGGCUGGAAAGUCAAAUAAAUCCAAAGGAGGUCAAUGGGUAAUAGUUUUCUGCAUGAUGGCACAAAAAUGCUACACUGGGGAAGUUAAGUCACAUUUACAGGCUUCUUUGCUGAAAUGGGAGUCUCAUUGCUAUACAAGAGGAACAAGCUGUAGAAAUAUCCUUUAGCAGAAAUGGUGGCUCCAGUCUAUCUGCAACAACAGUUUCUCCACAGACAUCUCUAUUCAGCUGCUAUCAAAAGGAGAUGAUGAGCAACAUGAGUUCUGUUUCUCUCUCCCAAGAGUGCGGGUGGCACUGAAGGAUAACAUCGUUACCCUGUAUGGCAGAGAUUCUGGGGCUUGUUAUAUCAGAUUUCCCUUCCUUCCUUUCCCCUUCCCCUCCUCCCCACAAGCAAUGAGGUCUGAUGCUCCUUUUGAUGCACAAGUUAACUGCCUGCAAAUGGGAGUUGUGCAACACAGCAAGGAGAGAACAGAACCCAGAAUUCAACCAUUUCUCUGCUGUUGUAACCAUGCCUAGUCUACUUACAGAUCCUGAUGGACUGGCUGCAGUCGCUGCCUCUUGUCUUGUGCUGGGACUCCGAGAGGAUGGUGGGCUGUUGCCUGACACUUUUUGGCUACUGGCCUUGCUAGUCUUCAGCUUCUCUCCCAUUGCAGACAGCCAGGUUUUUUUCCC